AAAGCGAGAGCAUUCGUACCACUGAUUUUAAAGCACUGGGGAUGGAUCACCUUUCACGGAGUGGUCGUUUUCUUCCGUUUGUAGAUCUACCAAACAAAAAGCGGCCACUGUGUGUCGUAAACCAAUGAAACCGAUGUGUGAACGUCAGCUAACUAGUACGUUGUGAGCAACUAGCUAGCUAAAUAAGUUUUUAAAAAGCUUCAUGAGCUAAUUUACACCCUUCUUCGUGUAGCUAAAUUAUCAGGGAGCUAUCCAGAUAUUUAUUUUUGGUGUUAGGUUAGCUUAGGGGUAGCUAACGUAAGCUAGCUUAAUUUACAUUAUGGAGGUUUUACGUCCAGCUCUUAUCAACAUAAAUGGGAGAAUAUACCGAAGGAAUGUCAUUAAGGAGGAACAUUAUGAGGAAGAAGAAGAUUUCUCUUACAUGGGACCACCUGACAGUGAAGACCUUGCAGCUGAUGAAACCUGUGAUACCCACUUCAUUGAACAGAUUGAUAAGGGAUACCGCUGUGCCAUUGACGUCCCAAGUGUUCUUUACAAAUACAUCAUUGGGAAAAAAGGAGAGACACGCAGACGUCUGGAGUAUGACACAAAGACAUCUAUCAGCAUCCCAAAACAAGGAGUGGAAGGACAGAUAGUUAUCACAGGUUCCCAUAAAGCUGCAGUCACAUCUGCAGUCACACGAGUUGAGGUCCUUGUUGAAAGUUUCCGGAAAAAGCAGCCUUUCACGCACUUCCUGUCAUUUCCUCUGAAUGAUGCAAAAGUUCAAGAAGGAUUCCUGAGAUUUAAAGAUGAGGUUUUGCAGCAGUGUUCACAGGAUCAUGGAGUAGAGGUAAGCAUCUUUCAGAACCCUGCAAAGCUUCACCUGACAAUCGGUACCAUGGCUCUGUUAAAUGACAUGGAAGUGAGAAAAGCAUGUGCACACCUCCAAGAGUGUCAACACUUCAUCAGGGACAUCACAGAAGGAAAACCACUGCCGUUGCAGGUGACAGGUAUAGAGUACAUGAAUGAUGACCCAGCAAUGGUGGACGUCUUGUAUGCCAAAGUCAACGUGAAAGACAAAUCGGACAAGUUACAGAUGAUUGCGGACCGGCUGGUAGAGCACUUUGUCUCAGCAGGGCUAAUGCUCAGAGAGUGGGACAGAGUUAAGCUGCACGGAACUGUGAUGAACACUCUGUUCAGAAAGGACUCCACAGUUGAAGACACAGGCGGCCCAGGAAGACAAAUGAAUGAAAGAGAGGCUUUUGAUGCCAGAAACAUAUUAAAGAAAUUUAGUGCUCAUUGUUUCGGGGAGUUUGAGCUGAAUACCGCCCUGUUGUCCCAGAGAUAUUCGACAGACUGUACGGGCUACUACACCUCUGCAGGGAGCAUCAGCUUCUCAUGAGCAUCAACAGGGCCGAACAGAUUCUGAGGUGGGAAAUGAGUAAUGAAGAAGGACAUGAUUAAGGAUGCGCUGGGCAGAUGUCCUCAGUAGCGAUGGGACUGAAAACACAUGCGAAGGAACAUACAUCAUCCACAGACAGACUGAGACGCUGACGACAUGUUUAAUUUGUCAACAGAUUUUAAUAUAAGAUGUUUGGACUACAUGUUUAUUUAAAUGGCCAUAUGUGUGUUUUGUUGCAUAAAUCAGGAACAUAUUGGACUAGGGCUCCAAUGAACAAUUGGGUUUUAGUCAGUCAAUUAGUGUAUUAUUUUAUCAAUUAAUUGAACAAACGUGUAGUCUAUAAAAAUUCAGAAAGAUGGGGAAAGUGGGAAAAAUUAGGAACAUUUAAGAUUCAUAAUUUAGCAGAUAUAAGCAGCAGAGUCCAAGAUGGCAUUUUUAAAAUCAGUUCAACUAACAGACCAAAACAGAGAGCAAGUUUUUGUGGUUUUCUGGUUGAUAAAUAAACUGUUGGUAAUGAUUUGAAUUGACUCAACAAAAUAAUGUUGCUGUGCGUGUCUGUGUGGGUGAGCUUGCUUACGCACUGCCUGACAUGCAUAUUUUUUUAUAUUCCUGCCACAUCUCUCAACCUAAUUAGUCAGCUCUGCACUUCCUGCUGUGAGAACUUCCAACGUGACCCCUGAGAUUUCGAGACUAGCAUGUGUCCCUCUCAAUAAGCCGGAAUAAACGAGAUGAAAAUUUUAUGAAGAUGAUAAUGCAAAUUUGUGUUGCCGUGGACCUGUUUCCUCUCUGGAUGAGCAUCCUUAUUUUCUGAGGAGAGAUCUGAGGAGACACAGGUUUUAAUUAAAGUUUAGUUUAGAUGUCUUUGCGGGCAUGUGUGCAUUGAUGAGUCACAUAGGCUGUAUGUUCAAAAAGCUGGUCUGCUACACCCACAGAAAACCAGUUAGUAUUUUCCAAUUAACUUUUUUUCCCUCUGUAGAAAGAAAAAGCUGUCAUUUUAAGAGAAGCGAAAGCCAAGCAACCACUUAAUUGACCCUGUAACACUCUAAGAACUUACACUGAACCUUUUAGUAAUGAGAAUUCAUAUCAUGUUUGGUAACUGAAGUCUGGUGUUAUCUCUAAGUAUAGUUUAGGCCUCUAUCCAAGGCCUCUAUUGCAUUUUUAAUUUCAUGCCAGUUUUCUAAGUAGCCUUUUAUAUUUUUUAAGGCUGUUUUGAAAUAGGUCUAACAUGAUCAAUGUCAAACUUUUUUUUCUUUUAGCACAUUUUCAUAUUCAGAACCACACUAUGCAAUUUUUCAUAGUGUAAUUAAAAAUUAAGCUUUCAUUCAAGGGCUGGCAUUAACAUCUGCUCGGGGGGGAAAAAGAUGAUAUUUGACGGACGUGACCUUUUGAUACAAUAGAUAUGUUUGAUUUGCAUACUCCAACUAAUAACACACAUGAAAUUGAUUAAAUGCCUGGUUACUUUCUAAGGUCA